rnacentral:rRNA from 1 species
UACGUAGGGUGCAAGCGUUUGUCCGGAAUUACUGGGCGUAAAGAGCUCGUAGGCGGUUUGUCGCGUCGUCUGUGAAAUCCCGCAGCUCAACUGCGGGCUUGCAGGCGAUACGGGCAGACUUGAGUACUGCAGGGGAGACUGGAAUUCCUGGUGUAGCGGUGAAAUGCGCAGAUAUCAGGAGGAACACCGGUGGCGAAGGCGGGUCUCUGGGCAGUAACUGACGCUGAGGAGCGAAAGCGUGGGUAGCGAACAGG